UAUAUAAAUACAUUAUUUUCGAUUGCUCUACGUACCAGUACAUCUAUAUUGACCCCCUAUAUUUCUAAAAUUCUAAGACACAGUCUUAGGGUCCCGUUAAGCCUUGAAUUGACUUGUCAGAAGUUUGCAGCAGGUGAGCCUCCCUUACUUCGGAAGGCCUAUAUUAGAACUUUUUAUUGUUAUUUAAAUUUUAUUCAUGGUCCGACUGGGGGCCUCAUCCCAGUUUUAGACAAGUUGUUAAUUUCGGAUGUAUUAGAGAUUUUGCAGGUUGAAGUAGAUAUUGUCUAGAUAUUGAU
rnacentral:lncRNA from 1 species